rnacentral:rRNA from 1 species
GACGAACGCUGGCGGCGUGCUUAACACAUGCAAGUCGAACGAAGUGGCGAACGGGUGAGUAACGCGUAAUCAACCUGCCCUUCAGAGGGGGACAACAGUUGGAAACGACUGCUAAUACCGCAUACUGAAGGAGGGUGUUGCGUCUGAUUAGGUAGUUGGAGGGGUAACGGGCCACCAAGGCGAUGAUCAGUAGGCGGGUUGAGAGGGAUAACGAGCAACUUGGGACCGGGGCACGGCCCAGAAUCCUACGGGAGGCAGGCGGGGGGAAUCUUCCGAAAUGGGGCAAAGUCGUACGGAGCAACGCCGCGUGAGUGGUGACGGCCUUUGGGUUGUAAAGCUCUGUUAAUCGGGACGCGUUACCGGAAUAGAAAGCCACGGCUAACUCCGUGCCAGCAGCCGCGGUAAUAC